rnacentral:rRNA from 1 species
GACAGAGGGGGCAAGCGUUGCUCGGAAUUACUGGGCGUAAAGCGCACGUAGGUGGCGACGUAAGUCGGGUGUGAAAGCCCCGGGCUCAACCUGGGAAUUGCAUUCGAGACUGCAUUGCUGGAGUACGGAAGAGGAAGGCGGAAUUCCCGGUGUAGCGGUGAAAUGCGUAGAUAUCGGGAGGAACAUCAGUGGCGAAGGCGGCCUUCUGGUCCAGUACUGACACUCAAGUGCGAAAGCGUGGGGAGCAAACAGG